AUUGAACGCUGGCGGCAGGCUUAACACAUGCAAGUCGAGCGGGGUAAUGUAGCUUGCUACCUGACCUAGCGGCGGACGGGUGGGUAAUGCUUAGGAAUCUGCCUAUUAGUGGGGGACAACAUCUCGAAAGGGAUGCUAAUACCGCAUACGUCCUACGGGAGAAAGCAGGGGACCUUCGGGCCUUGCGCUAAUAGAUGAGCCUAAGUCGGAUUAGCUAGGUGGUGGGGUAAAGGCCUACCAAGGCGACGAUCUGUAGCGGGUCUGAGAGGAUGAUCCGCCACACUGGGACUGAGACACGGCCCAGACUCCUACGGGAGGCAGCAGUGGGGAAUAUUGGACAAUGGGGGGAACCCUGAUCCAGCCAUGCCGCGUGUGUGAAGAAGGCCUUUUGGUUGUAAAGCACUUUAAGCGAGGAGGAGGCUACCGAGAUUAAUACUCUUGGAUAGUGGACGUUACUCGCAGAAUAAGCACCGGCUAACUCUGUGCCAGCCGCCGCCGUAAUAC
rnacentral:rRNA from 1 species